rnacentral:rRNA from 1 species
UAAGGAAUAUUGGUCAAUGGGCGCAAGCCUGAACCAGCCAUGCCGCGUGCAGGAAGACGGCCCUAUGGGUUGUAAACUGCUUUUGUCAGGGAAUAAACCUUUGUACGAGUACAGAGCUGAAGGUACCUGAAGAAUAAGCAUCGGCUAACUCCGUGCCAGCAGCCGCGGUAAUCCGGAGGAUGCAAGCGUUAUCCGGAUUCAUGGGGUUUAAAGGGUGCGCAGGCGGAUUGGUAAGUCAGGGGUGAAAUCCUACAGCUCAACUGUGGAACUGCCUUGGAUACGGUCAGUCUAGAGUAUAGUUGAAGUUGGCGGAAUGUGUCGUGUAGCGGUGAAAUGCUUAGAUAUGACACAGAACACCGAUCGCGAAGGCAGCUAGCUAAGCUAUAACUGACGCUCAUGCACGAAAGCGUGGGGAUCAAACA